AGAGUUUGAUCCUGGCUCAGGAUGAACGCUGGCGGCGUGCCUAACACAUGCAAGUCGAGCGAUUCUCUUCGGAGAAGAGCGGCGGACGGGUGAGUAACGCGUGGGUAACCUGCCCUGUACACACGGAUAACAUACCGAAAGGUAUGCUAAUACGAGAUAAUAUACUUUUAUCGCAUGGUAGAAGUAUCAAAGCUUUUGCGGUACAGGAUGGACCCGCGUCUGAUUAGCUAGUUGGUAAGGUAACGGCUUACCAAGGCGACGAUCAGUAGCCGACCUGAGAGGGUGAUCGGCCACAUUGGAACUGAGACACGGUCCAAACUCCUACGGGAGGCAGCAGUGGGGAAUAUUGCACAAUGGGCGAAAGCCUGAUGCAGCAACGCCGCGUGAGCGAUGAAGGCCUCCGGGUCGUAAAGCUCUGUCCUCAAGGAAGAUAAUGACGGUACUUGAGGAGGAAGCCCCGGCUAACUACGUGCCAGCAGCCGCGGUAAUACGUAGGGGGCUAGCGUUAUCCGGAAUUACUGGGCGUAAAGGGUGCGUAGGUGGUUUCUUAAGUCAGAGGUGAAAGGCUACGGCUCAACCGUAGUAAGCCUUUGAAACUGGGAAACUUGAGUGCAGGAGAGGAGAGUGGAAUUCCUAGUGUAGCGGUGAAAUGCGUAGAUAUUAGGGGGAACACCAGUUGCGAAGGCGGCUCUCUGGACUGUAACUGACACUGAGGCACGAAAGCGUGGGGAGCAAACAGGAUUAGAUACCCUGGUAGUCCACGCCGUAAACGAUGAGUACUAGCUGUCGGAGGUUACCCCCUUCGGUGGCGCAGCUAACGCAUUAAGUACUCCGCCUGGGAAGUACGCUCGCAAGAGUGAAACUCAAAGGAAUUGACGG
rnacentral:rRNA from 1 species